rnacentral:siRNA from 1 species
GGUAGUCAGAAAUGCAUGCGGCCU